UUGAGGAGGUGAAUAUCUAACUAGUGAGUUUCUUGAUUAUUUAAAAGAAAAUAGAAUUCUCUCUCAAUGGACUUUUUCCUACACUCCACAAUUAAAUGGUAUUGUGAAAAAAAAGAAUCGUACCUUAUUGGAUAUGAUGCGGUUUAUGAUGUGCUUCACAGAUCUUUCAAUCUCUUUUUGAGUGUUGAGAUUUGAUAUCUUAAGAUUCAAUUCACACUGAGCUCACAGCAAGGUCUAGAACGAUGAAUGGAGUUCAACAAGCCUAAGAACAGCCCAAAUAGAGUCCAGAUGGUGAAGAUACAUGUGAAUGAAGGCUUACAGCAAGUGGCAUGAUCCACGAGGCAGCAGAGGUCGGUUGCGGUGCAUGCGCGCACACAAGAGUAUGCGGCCCAGUGCCAAUGCAUGCAUGGGUUGGCCCAGUGGGCACGCAGAUGCCCAAGCCCAGUGCCCUGUCGCGGUCCACCAUGGAUCACAGGGUGAUGGGUGGUUCAUGGAGGCCAUAUGGAUCGAUCUACGUGCGGUCCAAGGGCGUUUGUACAUGAUCUGAUGGUUCAAAUUGCAUAUGGUC
rnacentral:lncRNA from 1 species